AAGUUGUCAGGUUAAAAACGACUCUCAAAGAUAUAUGGCUCCGAAAGACAGGGAUAAUUUCAAAUUCUUAAAUAUUUCUUGAUUUGGCACUUGAAAGAAAUGUUCUUAUAUAUGUUCAGUUGAGUAUGGAACCAAUGAUCUAGUCGUACUGUUUCGAUGUUUAAAAAUAUCAUUUCUGAGUUUAAUAAAGUAUGCUGUCAAUGCAUUGACCAUUGUGAAAAUGUUAAGGCAUUUUGAGGAAAUUAAUUUACUUCGAGCAAUGGAAUUUGUUGUCAACGACAAUGACUGUCUUGCCUACCACUUGACAACUGAUCGCGAAUUACAACGAAUGGACUUCUCUUAGCAUCUAAACAUCGCGAUAAAAUCAUUAUUUUCCAUACUCGAGUGAAGAUUUUGGUCACUUUACCAAAAACAAUUAGUUGUAUUAAAAAAAAGUAAAAGCAUGUUCGAUUUACUUCGUCUUUGAGCCAUAUAUUUUCCUUGUAAAACAACCUGGUGUUACGCUUUGGAUUGUCCGUCAGACUCGUAAAAUUUAUCAUUAGAGUUGUUUUACAAUAUUUAUUUUGAAGUAUAAACAUUUAUCUUGAAAAGACCAGGUUCUCUUGUUUCCUCAAGAAUUAACUUUUUAAUGUUAAUUCGCGGGCAAACAAGUUUUUUAAUGUUGUGUUUUCACUUGUGCUUAUUCACUUGUGUUGAACACAAUAUUAAUUGUUCUCUUUGUGCCAUGUUCUGUUUUCUUCUAUUGUUAUUUAAUUAAAUACGUAUGCAGUGGUUGUUCUCUUUUUAUUGUUAUUCAAUUUGUAAUUACAAUUCUUUUCAAUAAAUUGUUCAUUAAUUAUACAAGAGACUCCUUUUUAAUUAAAAAUUCAAUUCCCAUGGGAAUUGAAAAAAAAAAUAAAAAAA